AGGAUUCCAGGAUAUGACUUGAACCGAAGGCAGUUGCUUAACCAACUGAGCCAUCCAGGCUCCCCAGGAAUAUUAACUUCUUAAUCAGCAGCAGAUUUUGAGCCAUUUCCUGAAAAACUGCUUCUGUCUUUAUCAUACUGGGCCAUUUGAAAAAAACAAAAAACAAAAAACAAAAACCAACUUGAAAACCUUCAAAUUUCCUGCUCGCGGUUGAGACAUUGGGUUGUUCCCUCACUGACAUGUGUCUCUUCAUACUUCUGUAAUUUUACUCUCUCAACUGAAUGCGGAUGAUAUUAGAUGGAGAUAAUGGACAAUGGUAUUUAUUUUACAUUUCCAUUGUCUACUGAACCUCAAACCCAGAAUGAUUGCAGACCACAGCAAAAAGUUUCUCCCAGGUUCCCUUUCUCACACCGGGUGGCAAUAGUUUUGGGUCUUCUGAACAUCAUUUUUGUGUGUCUCCUGCUUGUCCAAUGGAUUCACUGCCAGGGUUCCAGUCGUGCCAGUUGUGCCAACUGUUGCAGUUGUCCAGACCUCUUUAUGAAGAAUGGUAACUACUGUUAUUACUUCUCACUGGAGAAAAAAGACUGGAACUCUAGCCUGGAAUUCUGCCUGGAUAAAGAUUCACAUCUCCUUGACUUCACAGACAGAGGGGAAAUGAGCCUGCUUCUACGGUUCCUCAAAAAUGAUUUUUAUUGGAUUGGUCUGAGGAACAAAUCUGGCUGGAGGUGGCAGGAUGGGUCACCCCUAAAAAUCUCAAGCAUUGUUUCAAACAGCUUGAUCCAGAAGUGUGGAGCCAUCAACCAACACCAUCUCCAAGCUGCUAGCUGUGAAGCUCUUUUACCGUGGAUCUGUAAGAAGAAGCUGCCCUGGGAACACCUGCAUGGUAUACGUGACUGAACCCAGGUUAAGAUUUGGCGCGUGGCUGUGGAGAGCUACUCAUUUUGCAGCCGCUGAACGCAGCCCCUGUAGACCUCAGUCCAUGGAACAGGGACCCCAGCAAAGCAGUUUUCCUUGUCGUUGGUGAUCUUCAGGCAUUUCCAUGAUCUGUGAUAGUGGAAAGAAGAGAGAAUCAAGAUGGACUCGGGCUUCCUGAGUAGUGACUCUUCCAUCCCUCAGAUCUGGGUAGCAUACUGUUUAAGGAGGCCUGAUUGGCAUAGUGGGAAGUGAGAUUUAUUACUUAUAUGUAUCCAACAAAUAAUCCUAGGAACUAUGUGAAGUUUGACUAUCAGUGGCCCUUUCCCAAUAAAUGCAUUUUUCU